rnacentral:rRNA from 1 species
GGAAUAUUGCACAAUGGGCGCAAGCCUGAUGCAGCAACGCCGCGUGAGUGAAGAAGUAUUUCGGUAUGUAAAGCUCUAUCGGCAGGGAAGAAAGGCCCGCAAGGGAGAUGACGGUACCUGACUAAGAAGCCCCGGCUAACUACGUGCCAGCAGCCGCGGUAAUACGUAGGGGGCAAGCGUUAUCCGGAUUUACUGGGUGUAAAGGGAGCGCAGACGGCAUUACAAGUCUGAUGUGAAAGCCCGGGGCUCAACCCCGGAACUGCAUUGGAAACUGUAGAGCUCGAGUGUCGGAGGGGUAAGCGGAAUUCCUAGUGUAGCGGUGAAAUGCGUAGAUAUUAGGAGGAACACCGGUGGCGAAGGCGGCUUACUGGACGACUACUGACGUUGAGGCUCGAAAGCGUGGGGAGCAAACA